AGUUGGCUUACAAGAUUGUGGGUUCCCGAAAUUUCCAGUGCAACAAUAUCUUGGUGAAUUGAAUGCAGAACAAGCACUCUUGCAAGCUACCACUCUCUUCUUGUCGUGAGAUCGAACCUGAAGCCCCGCCGGACACAUCAUGUUCAGGUCACUCACGCACCCGGCAUAGCUACAUUUCCCUGCCAGUACAUAUAUAUUCUCUCAAUUUCAGCUUUCGAAACAAAUUUAACAUUAGAAAUAUCAAUACUAUACCUGAGCCUCGGAAGGGUCUGAUGGCAAUAGCAAGAUUGUACCCAUCAACAAGGCUGACAUCGUAGAAAUCCUGGUCAUUGCCAAGUGUGAUCUCAGCAAGGGUGGCUGGAGGGGCCCCGCCAAUACCAUUACAGAAGAGAGCACCACCACAAUCCCCGGUGGCGCAGCGGCCGCGCCCCGUGGCAUCAAAAGAACAGCCGUGGCGGCCCCAGAUGCGGCCAUGUCGUGAGAUCGAACCUGAAGCCCCGCCGGACACAUCAUGUUCAGGUCACUCACGCACCCGGCAUAGCUACAUUUCCCUGCCAGUACGUAUAUAUUCUCUCAAAUUCAAUUUUCGAAACAAAUUAAACAUUAGAAAGAUCGAUACUAUACCUGAGCCUCGGAAGGGUCUGAUGGCAAUAGCAAGAUUGUACCCAUCAACAAGGCUGACAUCGUAGAAAUCCUGGUCAUUACCAAGUGUGAUCUCAGCAAGGGUGGCUGGAGGGGCCCCGCCAAUACCAUUACAGAAGAGAGCACCACCACAAUCCCCGGUGGCGCAGCGGCCGCGCCCUGUGGCAUCGAAAGAACAGCCGUGGCGGCCCCAGAUGCGGCCGGACCAUGCGGUGGGGAGUUGGAGAGUAUAAGCCUUGUUUGGUGGCAGCUUGAAGCCACCACGGGCAAGAAUGGGCUUACCAGCACUAGGUUGGAUGCCUGGCCAAACAGGGUGUCUGCACUUGUUGUACAGUGUCAUUUUUGUGGCUGAGACCUCUACUGGAUUGUGCCAUUUUCAGCACAAGAAGAAAUUCACAAUAAGUUAUUCAAACGUAUUUAAAAAACAAAAAGUUACAUAAUACUAUUUUUAAGCUCACAAAUAAAAAAAAUUGUUACACGUGAGUCGUUUACUGAUAAGUUGGAUAAUAUAAACUGAAUCUGAUCUGAUCUACACUUAAUGAGGCGUGUUGAUGACAAAAUUUAAAGUAACUAUAAUCUGAUCUGCACGUGACUUGGCAUCUCAUAGACGAGAUUUAAGUAAAUACAUUUGACCCUUUUCUAAAGCCUUAAGCUUUUGUUAUUGGUCAUCAGCAUUGAAACAUUCACAAAAGAGGAAAUAAACUACAAUGUAGAAAGAAGAAGAUUACCUGAAAUCUGGACAAUGAUGAAGGAGAGUAGUAGCAAAGAAAUAAAAGGUCUGAGAAGGAUUUCCAUGGCUGAAAAACUUCAAGUUGAUGAGGAGAACACUCAAUUUAUUUCCCUCUGUGUAGUGAGUUUGAUGGGCUUUUAUAGAUAAAAAUCCAAUAGGGUUACUACUUACUGGACUUUCUCGUCAAUUGGUAAAGUUAACUCGUUCGUACUACAGUGAAUAAAUACGGCUGGCAAGUGGGCCUUAUCAAAUGAAUGAUGUUCAUGUAUAUUCUUAUGAAUCAUUAACUUAUAUGUACAAUAUUUGUAGACAUUAAUGUUAGUAGACAAUAUUCUACUUGACAUUAUUAUAUGACUAAUUCUAUUUAAUUUCGUUGGAGUUAUAAUUUCAGUUUAAGUGAGCAUUAAAUGAUAUGCAAAAUUAAAUAAGUCAUUUAAUUUCACAUUUCAUUCAACAUAUUAUCUAGCGCCACCUAGACUGAGUUGUAACCCCAGUGAGACUGCAUAACAUUAUUCUUAUCGUAUUUAUCCAUUUAAAAAUUAAUUAUUUUUUACAUCACAUGCUUGAAUUUUGACACUAGCUUUAUUCUAUUUUUCUUUCUUAUCCCAACUUAGAGGUUAUAAUCCGGGACUUUGAACCAACUCGCCUGCCUUCAGUGUUUUUUCCCUUUUUUUUUGGUGAAGUACAGGCCGGCAUGAACCAUGAACUCGACACAACCCAGGUGCCUGCCAGACAUUUACCGGCAUUAAACAGAAUCGUUUGAUUAAUUUUUUUUUUAAAAUUGGUAAUUGGUAAUUUUGAAUGACUCGACUCGUUGGACUCAAGGACUACUCAGCUCAUGAGGCCACAGGCCAAGGACCAAUCGAUCCGAAGAUUUGGAUAAGAGCUCGGCUCCACAUUCAUUAUCACUCUAAUGUCACAUAAAUUAAAUAGCAUUACUCCAAUUUUACUACUACUAUUAUGAAGUACAAAUAUGUAAUCACAACCAAUAAGUAACGAAAAUCAUUAAAUGUUCAGAUAUUAAUACAGUAUACAGCGAUCCAUAAUGCUAAUUAAUUAGAUAGAGGAUUUUCUAGUGAUGAGGACAAAAUGUGACCAAAUAGCUUCCGCCAGUGCAAGUGGCAAUGCUGGUAGGAUCAUCAUAGGCAUAAGAAUAAGCCUUGGGACAAGCCGUCUUGAAAAUUCUUGAAUAUGCAGUUGGCUUACAAGAUUGUGGGUUCCCGAAAUUUCCAGUGCAACAAUAUCUUGGUGAAUUGAAUGCAGAACAAGCACUCUUGCAAGCUACCACUCUCUUCUUGUCGUGAGAUCGAACCUGAAGCCCCGCCGGACACAUCAUGUUCAGGUCACUCACGCACCCGGCAUAGCUACAUUUCCCUGCCAGUACAUAUAUAUUCUCUCAAUUUCAGCUUUCGAAACAAAUUUAACAUUAGAAAUAUCAAUACUAUACCUGAGCCUCGGAAGGGUCUGAUGGCAAUAGCAAGAUUGUACCCAUCAACAAGGCUGACAUCGUAGAAAUCCUGGUCAUUGCCAAGUGUGAUCUCAGCAAGGGUGGCUGGAGGGGCCCCGCCAAUACCAUUACAGAAGAGAGCACCACCACAAUCCCCGGUGGCGCAGCGGCCGCGCCCUGUGGCAUCGAAAGAACAGCCGUGGCGGCCCCAGAUGCGGCCGGACCAUGCGGUGGGGAGUUGGAGAGUAUAAGCCUUGUUUGGUGGCAGCUUGAAGCCACCACGGGCAAGAAUGGGCUUACCAGCACUAGGUUGGAUGCCUGGCCAAACAGGGUGUCUGCACUUGUUGUACAGUGUCAUUUUUGUGGCUGAGACCUCUACUGGAUUGUGCCAUUUUCAGCACAAGAAGAAAUUCACAAUAAGUUAUUCAAACGUAUUUAAAAAACAAAAAGUUACAUAAUACUAUUUUUAAGCUCACAAAUAAAAAAAAUUGUUACACGUGAGUCGUUUACUGAUAAGUUGGAUAAUAUAAACUGAAUCCGAUCUGAUCUACACUUAAUGAGGCGUGUUGAUGACAAAAUUUAAGUAACUAUAAUCUGAUCUGCACGUGACUUGGCGUUUCAAAGACGAGAUUUAAGUAAAUACAUUUGACCCUUUUCUAAAGCCUUAAGCUUUUGUUAUUGGUCAUCAGCAUUGAAACAUUCACAAAAGAGGAAAUAAACUACAAUGUAGAAAGAAGAAGAUUACCUGAAAUCUGGACAAUGAUGAAGGAGAGUAGUAGCAAAGAAAUAAAAGGUCUGAGAAGGAUUUCCAUGGCUGAAAAACUUCAAGUUGAUGAGGAGAACACUCAAUUUAUUUCCCUCUGUGUAGUGAGUUUGAUGGGCUUUUAUAGAUAAAAAUCCAAUAGGGUUACUACUUACUGGACUUUCUCGUCAAUUGGUAAAGUUAACUCGUUCGUACUACAGUGAAUAAAUACGGCUGGCAAGUGGGCCUUAUCAAAUGAAUGAUGUUCAUGUAUAUUCUUAUGAAUCAUUAACUUAUAUGUACAAUAUUUGUAGACAUUAAUGUUAGUAGACAAUAUUCUACUUGACAUUAUUAUAUGACUAAUUCUAUUUAAUUUCGUUGGAGUUAUAAUUUCAGUUUAAGUGAGCAUUAAAUGAUAUGCAAAAUUAAAUAAGUCAUUUAAUUUCACAUUUCAUUCAACAUAUUAUCUAGCACCACCUAGACUGAGUUGUAACCCCAGUGAGACUGCAUAACAUUAUUCUUAUCGUAUUUAUCCAUUUAAAAAUUAAUUAUUUUUUACAUCACAUGCUUGAAUUUUGACACUAGCUUUAUUCUAUUUUUCUUUCUUAUCCCAUAACAUCUAUAAUCUUGAGAAAACCGAGCAAGACGGAUCAAGUCGUUAUUUGUAAUACGCUUAAACCAUGUAAACUUUGCUAAGUUCCAAUUUGCAGAAUCGUUGAAGGUGUAAUUUUUUUUUUUUUAUAGAAAACUUUGUCAGGCUAAAUGUUGGACAUAAAUUUGGCACAGUUGUGCUACAUAUACAUAAUAAUUUAUAUACAUGAUUAUAUAUAAUUGAAUCAAAAUUUCUAAGUAAAAUGAAAAAAUUUCCACAUCCUCUCUUUAACAUUCAUUUAUAUGUAAAUUAUUAUAUAAUUUCGUAAGUCGAGGUAGGCAAGACCUAUUUUGUCAACGAAGAAUUUUGGGUGGUCCGAUACAAAGUGCUCAGGUACCGAGGGUGUCAGAAGUGAGUGGGGACCUAAAGGGAAAAAGUUAAAAAAUUUCACAUGUAUUCUCAGGGAAUCCAAUCUGCACGCUGCUUCCUUUGAGACCUUUAUUACCAUUGUUGUGUUUCCGUGUCUGCACCCACUGCGCAAUCAGAGAUCCCCAACUAAGUUUUUUUUUUUUAACGAGGUGUUCUAGCUUGCGUCAGACUAUAUCCUCGUCCCUGAACCUUCGGCCCCUCAGUAGCUCAGGGAGGUAAAUCGCGGGAUGUGCCCUUGUUGGUUUCCAGGUUCCCACACGACUUUUACUCCUUUUCCAAAGGGAGUCUCUUCACUGCCUUACAACAACUUGCCUUACAAAAUAAAUCUUGCCUUCCAAGUUGUGCCUUCCAGGAAUCGAACUCCCCACGCUUGGUUCGAGAGCCCUCUAAUGUAAUUGUUCCGCCAACUUGGAUGUGCCCCGGGGGCAGAGAUCCCCAACUACUCAUUUUCAUGCUUACUGGAUUAGGGGAAAAAAUCAUUUAGCUAUGUUUGUCAUUUUUAAAACAAAAAAUUCUUUAAUUUGUGAACUCAUUUGUUUACUACAAAUUCAUAUGAUAGAAUAUUUUAUACAUAAAUUUAAAAUUUUUCUACUUUUAAACUUUACUAGUCAUAGUUAAACGUUUAUUACACAUUAUUCUGAAAUACUAUUGAAAAAGUAAUAUUUAAUACUAAUUUAUUUGAAGGAUUUGAUAAGUCUCAAACGAAUUAAGGAAAAUAAAAUUUAGGAUAUAAAUUUAAGAGAAGAAAAUUAUACUCUCAAAACUCAAUUUCUAUUAUUCAAAUUUCUUGUGAUAAUGAAAUAUUACAAUUGAGCAAUAUUUUUAUACUACAUUUGGUACAUAAAUAUUAAUUGCAAAUCCAUGAAUUUAAAUACCCGUUAAAUUUUUUAGAUAUAUGAAUAUAAAUAAAUUUAUUUAUAAUAACUUUAUAUUCAUGUAGAUCAAGAUUCAUCGAAUCAAGAUUCACUAGAAAAAUAACUUACAGUUGGUUCAAAUACAACAAAACCUUAAUAGACUCUCACCGCCCAACUUGUAAAUCAUUGAAAAAUCUCUUCGAUUCUACAACCUGUACUUUCUAGCAACUUUGAACUUCUUUUCCCUUCAUGUGGAUAACCAAGAACGAACUAAUUCUAAAACAUUUAGAUGUUUCUUCCUAAUUUCAGAACUCUGAAGGUUUAUUGGUGAAGGUAAGAGUUUUUGGUGUUUGAAAUUUGAACUUGUAGUUGAGGCAAGAAAAUUAUAAAAUAUAUGUUUGAUUAUGUAGGAUGUUCUCUUGAAUUAAAUGAAGGCUAUCGUUUGGUGCUAUAGUCGAGUGGUGCAAAGGAUAGCAGUGAGGUUAUCUCACGCCUUGUUACCAGUCGAAGUAUGGGGGUUCGAUUCCUGAGACAUAAAAUUGGAUUUCUUGUAGGUGUAAUGUACAAGUAACUUUUGUUCCCUGAUCUGUUGGGGCACAUCCCGCGAUUUACCUCCCUCACAAAACUCUAGAAACGGGACGGUGAGGACCCUCAAGGUUGGGGUUCAACCUUUUUAGCUUAGAAACUAAACAUGAUAAGUUGAGAUAUUGUAUCAGCAUAACUGAACUAACAACAAAAUAUGAUAUCAAUAUUAUAAAAAAUUGAGUGAUUAAAUUGAAGAGAAUCAAAUUUAAGUGACUAACAUAGAAUAUUAGUUGUAAGUUGAGUGACUUUCACUUAAAACACUAUUCACAUUUUACCAAGUUAUUCAUCCAGACCAUAUUCUAAUUUCCUCGAGUAAUGUUAUUCAGUGUCGAUCAUUUCAGUUUAAAUGGUAAUAGAACAUCUUAUUCAUAAAUUUAUUUAUAUGUAUCUCAGUUCAAUUAGAUGAUGAAUCAGUUGACUCAUUACCAUCUAAACUAAAUGAUUCAUAACUUCAUUUUUUUUUUCCUCAUCACGUCGCCAAAAUGCAAAAUCUUUAUUAAUAUACAAAAUAAUUAAGAGAGACGUGUCCUUACUUUACUCAACACACUAUAAAUAGUCCAAAUAGAAUCAAUUAGAAUUGUUGUCGUUUUAGUAAUGUCCUGCAGAGAUCUAUAAAGUCGGAUUAAUAAACUAUUAAUAAAUUAUAUCUAUUAGUUGGCCAUCGACUCAUAUAUGCGUGCAACCAAUUAAAAUAAUAUUUUUUAAUACGACCACCGCAUUUCACUGCCUCCACCACCAUACACGGCCAAUAGCCACCGCCUCACGGUUCAAAUUCCCUUGAUAAUGUAUCGCAAAAUUAGGUUGCACAAAGAAAAUCAUAAAAUUCAAUAUUUGUCGAACAUUAAAUCCCAAUCCAAAAAUUGAUUCAAAAAAAGUAAAGAAUCAAGAGUUGAAUUAAUAUAAUAAAUAAAUAAGCAAAACAAUUUUAUCCUUUUUUAUGAAUCGAUCAAAUUUUGAGUACCUUUUAACAACUUUUGAACGUUCGAAUUUUACUAAUCCAAUCGAUUCGAUGUAACAUUGGUCAAGAACCGUUACAUGCGUAAUAAUGGCAGGCUAAAUGUUGUGAAUUUACUCAAUUACCCCGCGGUUUGAAACUCGAAUUUCAUGAAUGUUGAAUAAAAGAGCAUACUGCUUUGCAUGAAAGUAGAUUAUUCCUUGACAUAUGACCCACAAGGAUUGAAAAGUUUUUUACUUUAACCAAAGACAUGUGGAAAACUUUAUGGGAAGAGAUCUAUACUACUUCUAAAUAAAGCAUCCUAAGUGAUUUGGCUGGUGAAGUAUGAUUAGUAACAUUCAAAUUAUUUUAACAAAGUCAUGAUGAUACAACCAGAACAAAAAUUACUAGUUACAUAGCUCUUGAAAAUCACAACGUGUUUGGUAUGUGAAAGUAAAAAAAAAAAAAAAAAUUACGACAUAAAACUCAAAAUGACAUUUUGAAAUUCUGAAGAUUUUCAUUGAAAACACUAAAAAAACUCAAAACAUGGAAAAUGAAUUUAAAAUUUUAUAUUUACAAUGAUUCUUUUUUUUUUCUUUAUCAACUUUUAAAAUUUAUAUUUUUUGAUGACAUAGUCGUAUAAAAUUUUUAUGUUUUACUAAAUAAUCAAAUUAAUUAUAAAAAAAUGUCAUAAAAUUAUUUCUAAAAUUUUUAAACCCAACGCAUUUUCUAGUUUUUGUUUUAAAUAUUAUUUUUCAGAAUGAAAAACCAAACGCGAUUUUUACAAUCUUAAAAUACUCCCUUAAAACGGGAAACAAAAAAUAAAUUCAAAAUGAAAAACAGGAAACAAAAACGCAAACCAAACGCAAUCUGAAUGUUCAUUUAGUUUAGAUUUAUUGAGAAGGAUUAGCUUCGUAUAUGAAAUAGGCUUUGCAAACUCAUUUUCUAAAGAAAAUUAGACUGAACAUUCAAGUGGACACAUACAUAAGGUGGGAAAUCGUGAGUGCAAAAGAAUCUAUUUUUGAAGAGAAUAUUAUAUCAUUUGAAAAUUAUCUAUAAAUUUAGAGAGUUAAAAUUUUGAAGUACUCCAACAAAUUUUUUUAUAUUUAAUACUUAAUUUAACUCUCAAAAAAUAUUUAUUAUUUUUCUCUAUCAUCUAUUUUACCUAGAUUUUCUUUAGACGAUUUUAUUAUUUUCCUACAUUGAAUAUUGAAACACUUUGAAUGCAUUUAAUUUAGAGAGUGAGCUAUCUAAACUAAAAUAUUAAUUUAAAGAGUCUCUUGGAGUAUAAUUUUUAAAGAUUGACUCUUUAAAAUAGAGAGAAUCUCAUACUUAAAGAAUUUCUUGAAAAUACUCUUAAACGCAUGUUUCUUAUGUAGCUUUAUCUAUAAAUGUGUCAUUGUUAGGGCGUGGGCAAUAUUGCCUUAUAUUUGGUGUAAAACACCACUGGAAGAGAGCUUACACUAAAUUUGGUGUUUUACACCAAAUAUAAGGCAAAUUUGGUGUUUGCCCUAUUAUGUUUAAUGUUUGUUUCAAUUUAUUAAUGAAGGCAAUAUUUUAGUUCAUUGAAAAACGAUGAAAAUUUUAUUAAUGAACUAAAAAUAGAUGCAUUAUUUUUUUAACAUUUUUUCAAUUUGGUGUGUAGGCCAUUGGAGAUUAUAUUAAUAUUUCCUAAUUGAAGCAUCUUGUGUAAAUAUUCAAGAAUAUAUUUGACAUGUAAUACGAGACAAGACUCGACAGUAUAACGAAAAAACUUUACUAUGUAAUUCAUUUCACUAAACAUACUAUUGAGAUUAUUUGGAAUGGUGAAGAUAGAUGGUAACGGUUGAACAAUUCUUGUUCAUGGAUCAUGGUUAAAAUUGAUUACAAGGAAAAGUUUGAUGACUCACUCACUCUACGUUAAAUGUAAACUGGACUUGUGGUUGUUAAUUGACAAAUUUUAAAAAAGGAAUAAUACAUAACUCCUAUAUAUAAGAAUUACAUUUUAAAAUUGACAAACUUAUCAAAUUAUUUCAAAAUUCAAGUAUUAAUUCUAAUUAAUAAUAUAUAUUUAAUUGGAAUUAAUUAUCUCCACUGCACCACUCCAGAAAUAUCCACCUGCCACUAUACUCAAUGCUUCCAGUAAGCAUUGAGUUGGAUAAAUAAUUUAUUUAUGUUUUCUAACUUUUGGAACCCCACCACUCUAACCCCAUCCCACCCCUUUGCAGAAAUUUCCAAUUUUAAAAAACAUUUUAGGAAAGAUUGAGGCCUGCAAAAAUUCAAGACACUUCCGCUAUCUACAAAAGUUUUCUCUUUCUAUAUAUACAUUUACGAACAUAAAUAGAAACCUGCAAUUUUAGGGAAAUUUGCAAGGAAAAUUAAAGCCUCCAUAAAUUCAAAAUGCUUUCUCUUUCUAUAAAAGCUCUCUCUCUCCAUAUACAUUUACAAACACAAAUAAAAAUCCAUAGUUAUAGGGAACUGUUUAGGUAAGAUUGAAGCUUCCAUAAAUUCAAAACGCUUUCCCUCUCUGAAAAAACUCUCUCUCUUUGCAAGUGGUGGUGGU
rnacentral:lncRNA from 1 species